UGUGAACCACGUAAACCAGGGGUGUCAAACUCAACUUCCCUAAGGGCCACACUAGAAAAUGAGAAACAUCGUAUCAAGGGGCAGACAAAGUUUAUUGCUUUUAUGUCUUGGGAAAAGUUAAAUAUCUUUGACUGUAUUAUUGCGUGUUUCACAUAGUCUUCUCACUCACAGUUUGGUCGA